rnacentral:rRNA from 1 species
GAUGAACGCUAGCGACAGGCUUAACACAUGCAAGUCGAGGGGCAGCGCAGCGGGGUAACUCGCGGGCGGCGACCGGCGCACGGGUGAGUAACGCGUAUGCAACCUGCCCAUAGCAGCGGGAUAACCGGGAGAAAUUCCGACUAAUACCGCAUAUAUCUGUUUGUUGCAUGACAGACGGAGGAAAGGAGACGGCUAUGGAUGGGCAUGCGAGGCAUUAGGUAGUUGGUGAGGUAACGGCUCACCAAGCCUGCGAUCCGUAGCUGGUCUGAGAGGAUGAUCAGCCACACUGGGACUGAGACACGGCCCAGACUCCUACGGGAGGCAGCAGUGGGGAAUAUUGGACAAUGGGCGCAAGCCUGAUCCAGCCAUGCCGCGUGAGUGAUGAAGGCCUUAGGUUGUAAAGCUCUUUCGUCGGGGAAGAUAAUGACGGUACCCGAAGAAGAAGCCUCGGCUAACUCCGUGCCAGCAGCCG